rnacentral:rRNA from 1 species
GCACAAGCGGUGGAGCAUGUGGUUAAUUCGAAGCAACGCGAAGAACCUUACCAGGUCUUGACAUCCCGAUGCUAUUUCUAGAGAUAGAAAGUUACUUCGGUACAUCGGUGACAGGUGGUGCAUGGUUGUCGUCAGCUCGUGUCGUGAGAUGUUGGGUUAAGUCCCGCAACGAGCGCAACCCCUAUUGUUAGUUGCCAUCAUUCAGUUGGGCACUCUAGCGAGACUGCCGGUAAUAAACCGGAGGAAGGUGGGGAUGACGUCAAAUCAUCAUGCCCCUUAUGACCUGGGCUACACACGUGCUACAAUGGUUGGUACAACGAGUUGCGAGUCGGUGACGGCGAGCUAAUCUCUUAAAGCCAAUCUCAGUUCGGAUUGUAGGCUGCAACCCGCCUACAUGAAGUCGGAAUCGCUAGUAAUCGCGGAUCAGCACGCCGCGGUGAAUACGUUCCCGGGCCUU